rnacentral:rRNA from 1 species
UACGUAGGGCGCAAGCGUUGUCCGGAAUUAUUGGGCGUAAAGAGCUCGUAGGUGGUUUGUCGCGUCUGCCGUGAAAACCCGAGGCUUAACCUCGGGCCUGCGGUGGAUACGGGCAAACUAGAGGUAGGUAGGGGAGAACGGAAUUCCCGGUGUAGCGGUGAAAUGCGCAGAUAUCGGGAGGAACACCGGUGGCGAAGGCAGCACUCUGGGACGUGACUGACGCUGAGACGCGAAAGCGUGGGGAGCAAACAGG